rnacentral:sRNA from 1 species
GUCGCGCCUAGGCUGAUCCCUAAAACCGGGCACCUUCCCCGGCUGGUGCGGCACUUUUGAAGG